AAAAUGACUCUCGGCAACGGAUAUCUCGGCUCUCGCAUCGAUGAAGAACGCAGCGAAAUGCGAUACUUGGUGUGAAUUGCAGGAUCCCGCGAACCAUCGAGUCUUUGAACGCAAGUUGCGCCCGAAGCCUUUUGGCCGAGGGCACGUCUGCCUGGGUGUCACUC
rnacentral:rRNA from 1 species